UCUCCGUAGGUGAACCUGCGGCGGGCUCAUUACUUAGUGAGUUUCUCCGGGCCCGACCUCCAACCCUUUGUGAACACAACUUGUUGCUUCGGGGGCGACCCUGCCGUUUCGACGGCGAGCGCCCCCGGAGGCCUUCAAACACUGCAUCUUUGCGUCGGAGUUUAAGUAAAUUAAACAAAACUUUCAACAACGGAUCUCUUGGUUCUGGCAUCGAUGAAGAACGCAGC
rnacentral:misc_RNA from 1 species